rnacentral:rRNA from 1 species
AUUGAACGCUGGCGGCAUGCUUUACACAUGCAAGUCGAACGGUAGGGUAGCAAUACCUGAGAGUGGCGAACGGGUGAGUAAUGCAUCGGAACAUGCCUAAUAGUGGGGGAUAGCCCGGCGAAAGCCGGAUUAAUACCGCAUACGAUCUAUGGAUGAAAGCUGGGGACCGCAAGGCCUGGCGCUAUUAGAGUGGCCGAUGUCAGAUUAGCUUGUUGGUGAGGUAAAGGCUCACCAAGGCAACGAUCUGUAGCUGGUUUGAGAGAACGACCAGCCACACUGGGACUGAGACACGGCCCAGACUCCUACGGGGGGCAGCAGUGGGGAAUUUUGGACAAUGGGCGCAAGCCUGAUCCAGCAAUGCCGCGUGCAGGAUGAAGGCCUUCGGGUUGUAAACUGCUUUUGUACGGAGCGAAAAGGCUUUCUCUAAUACAGAAAGUUCAUGACGGUACCGUAAGAAUAAGCACCGGCUAACUACGUGCCAGCCGCCGCUGUAAAAC